CAUGCACCAUGCCAGAUGUGAAAGGUUAGAAAGGGAGCAGAGAUACAUUGUUUAAAAAAAAAAUCUUCAGACCUGGUUGCAGGUAUUAGCAACCAAAUGAUGAGAUUGAUGCUGUCUGCACUCUUUCUUGUUUGCUGUGUGUGAGCCAAUGCUUCUCAAGUCCUUCCAUGGAAACUGUGUCUCCUAUGGAAGGAUGAUGAGAAAGAAAUUGCCAAGGCAGCAACAGUUGGAUGUUAACAAAAAACAAAAAACAUGUACACUAAACAAUGCUUUCUUCACUACUAUUAGGGAAUACAGGAAAUGACAUAAAAUUGGGGUGAAGUGG